AAGUUUAACUUACUUUCCUUCGUUGAAACUUAAUCUAAAGUAUCUACUAAUUUAAACUUAAAUAAUAUUUAUGUUUGUUUUGAAAAAGUAUUUUUUUCUGCAAGAACCUAAUUGUAAGGAACUUUUUACUGUUCUAAACAACAAGAGAAAACAACAAAAAAUGUAGAUAUUCAAGAGAAGAAAAAUGCGAUUAUAUACGCCAAUGAGGAGAAACAGCAACCUCAGUGGUUAGCUCGCGUUCGCACUGAAAAGCGUGCCAAUAGAUGGCUACGUGCAAACCGAGAGGGCAAUGACAAGCAGGGAAUCUGUCAACAUCUACCAACAAUGUCAACAUGCAUUUAUGUCUUCGAUAUCUGUCAACAGCUUUAACGUUGGUCAACAUUUAAGCUUGUUAACAUCUUUCAACAUCAUCAGCUUUUAAACAUUUGUCAACACGUAUUACUAAUUUCAUCGUUCAGUUUCGACUGAAAUAGCCAGCGUAUAAGCUCGUUUAUUCGGACAGCAAAUAGGAAGUUCGAGAUUCGCCCGGAACCACGCUACAUGCACCUCGAAACAGCUACAGAAACAC
rnacentral:misc_RNA from 1 species